CGUAGGGUGCGAGCGUUAAUCGGAAUUACUGGGCGUAAAGCGUGCGCAGGCGGUUAUGUAAGACAGAUGUGAAAUCCCCGGGCUCAACCUGGGAACUGCAUUUGUGACUGCAUGGCUAGAGUACGGUAGAGGGGGAUGGAAUUCCGCGUGUAGCAGUGAAAUGCGUAGAUAUGCGGAGGAACACCGAUGGCGAAGGCAAUCCCCUGGACCUGUACUGACGCUCAUGCACGAAAGCGUGGGGGAGCAAACAGGAUUAGAUACCCUGGUAGUCCACGCCCUAAACGAUGUCAACUGGUUGUUGGGAAUUAGUUUUCUCAGUAACGAAGCUAACGCGUGAAGUUGACCGCCUGGGGAGUACGGCCGCAAGGUUG
rnacentral:rRNA from 1 species